rnacentral:rRNA from 1 species
UACGGAGGGUGCGAGCGUUGUCCGGAUUUAUUGGGUUUAAAGGGUGCGUAGGCGGCCGCGUAAGUCUGGGGUGAAAGCCCGUUGCUCAACAACGGAACUGCCCUGGAAACUGCGCGGCUUGAGUCCAGACGAGGUUGGCGGAAUGGGCGGUGUAGCGGUGAAAUGCAUAGAUACCGUCCAGAACACCGAUUGCGAAGGCAGCUGACUAGGCUGGUACUGACGCUGAGGCACGAAAGCGUGGGGAGCGAACAGG